rnacentral:lncRNA from 1 species
UUAUUUUCUUUCCAUGUAGCAUCUAUAGGGAACCUGUAUUCUCUUCCCUGUUUCUCUUUUUUAAUAAUUAUUUUUUAUUUUUAUUUGUGUGUAUUGGGGUUUUGCCUGUGUGUAUGUCUAUGUGAGGGUGUCAGAUCUUGUAGUUAUAUACAUGUGAGCUGCCAUGUAUGUGCUGGGUAUUGAACCCAGGUCCUCUGGAAGAGCAGUCAAUGCUCUUAACCAUUGAGCCAUUUCUCCAGCCCCCUCUACCUUAUCUUAACUGCAGUAAACCUAGGUUUUCAAAAAGAGGUUCAGUGUCUUAAGAUUAUUAAGCAUCAAUAAAAUGUUGCACUGAUGUAGGAUAAUUUCCCUUCAUAAGAUAUUGGAAGUAUAACUAGGUUUAUUUUGUUUUUCUAUAAUUUUAUGAAAAAUGUAAUUUCACAAAGCUUUAAAAUGAAUUGUUUGUGCUUGUAAGAUACCAUCAAGAAAGUACAACAACCAAGACAAUCCAUUAAGGAACUUGUAUUUAGAAUAUAUACAGGAUCCUUACAACCAGAUAAUACAAAACUGAAAAAUGGAAAAGGGUCUGAAUAGACAGGUGUCUAAUGCAUACAGAGAUGUGCAAUAUCUUUAGCCAUCAGGGGAAUUCAAGUCAAAACCACAAAGAGAGAUCACUUCUCAUCCUAGUUGUUAAAAUAAAAAAGAUAAAAGCUGCUGGGUGUGGUGGCGCAUGCCUUUAAUCCCAGCACUUGGGAGGCAGAGGCAGGCAGAUUUCUGAGUUCGAGGCCAGCCUAGUCUACAAAGUGAGUUCCAGGACAGCCAGGUCUAUACAGAGAAACCCUGUCUCGAAACCUCCCCCCCCCACAAAAAAAAGAAAGAGAGAGAGAAAACUGUUUGAAGGUUUUGAUGUAAAAUUAGAAAAUAACAGUAGUAGAAUUUCAAAAUAGUAAUCUAUAGAAAACAGCCUGGCAGUUCUCCAAGACAUUAAACAUGAAAUAAUUAUCACUAGCAAUUCUGCUCCUAAAUUUCUACCCAGCAUGAUUGAAGACAUAAAAAUUUAUGCACCCAUGUUAGUAACAGCAUUGCUGUGAAUGGAUGAAUGGGUCAGAGAUUAAUAGACAUUUGCAAACGGGUGAAAUUUAUGGCUGGAGAUGGAGCUCAGUUGAUAGGAUGUUUACCUAGCAGGCCUAGUGCCCUAAGUUUGAGCCCCACCAUUGUAUAGACCUGAUGUGAAGACACAGUACAGUAAUCCCAGCCCUUGGGAGCUGGAGGUCAGUGCUUAAGGUCAUCCUCAUCUACAUCGCAAGUUCAACACUGCAUUAUAUGACGCUCUGUCUUUAAAAGUAAAAGAAAAAUCAGCAUUCACCAUUUUUACUAAAACCCAUAGCUUAAUUUUUCC